rnacentral:rRNA from 1 species
UACGAAGGGGGCUAGCGUUGCUCGGAAUCACUGGGCGUAAAGGGUGCGUAGGCGGGUCUUUAAGUCAGGGGUGAAAUCCUGGAGCUCAACUCCAGAACUGCCUUUGAUACUGAGGAUCUUGAGUUCGGGAGAGGUGAGUGGAACUGCGAGUGUAGAGGUGAAAUUCGUAGAUAUUCGCAAGAACACCAGUGGCGAAGGCGGCUCACUGGCCCGAUACUGACGCUGAUGCGCGAAAGCGUGGGUAGCAAACAGG